rnacentral:rRNA from 2 species
CCUACGGGAGGCAGCAGUGGGGAAUAUUGGGCAAUGGGCGAAAGCCUGACCCAGCAACGCCGCGUGAGGGAAGAAGGUUUUCGGAUUGUAAACCUCUGUCCUCAGGGACGAAAAAAAUGACGGUACCUGAGGAGGAAGCCCCGGCUAACUACGUGCCAGCAGCCGCGGUAAU